rnacentral:rRNA from 1 species
AAUCAACGCUGGCGGCGUGCCUAACACAUGCAAGUCGAACGCGAAAGGGGAGCAAUCCCUGAUUAGAGUGGCAAACGGGUGAGUAACACGUGGGUGACCUGCCUUCGAGUGGGGAGUAACCUUCCGAAAGGAGGGCUAAUACCGCAUGACAUACCGUGUUUGGAUACACGGAUAUCAAAGCCGGGGAUCGCAAGACCUGGCGCUUGGAGAGGGGCCCGCGUCCGAUUAGCUAGUGGUGAGGUAACGGCUCACCAAGGCUCCGAUCGGUAUCCGGCCUGAGAGGGCGGACGGACACACUGGAACUGAGACACGGUCCAGACUCCUACGGGAGGCAGCAGGUGGGGAAUUGUUCGCAAUGGGCGAAAGCCUGACGACGCAACGCCGCGUGGAGGAUGAAGAAUUUCGGUUCGUAAACUCCUUUCGACCGAGAUGAAUACUCCCGCGAUCUAAUACCUCGCGGGACUGACAGUAUCGAGAAGAAGAACG